rnacentral:lncRNA from 1 species
ACCUGGAUCUAGUCAUGCAAUUGGCGUGUCGGCACCAUUUACGGUUUGGGCUGUGGGCCCACUUUUAGCGCGGGAAGUAUAAUAAUAAUAAUAAAAAUCCUUACAAAAACAAUAGGGAUCCAACCUGUUGGCUUGGACCCCUAACUAGAACUGCAAGCAGUUAUGCAGGGGUCCAAGAAGUGUGCAUUUCGCCGGCACAACGCGACAAGAAAUGUGCGUUUCGCCGGCACAAUGCGAAGCAUGUGUUCAAAACGCUACCCUGAACCUGUGGAUAUAAAGGUUAUGACUGUGGGAGCUUCGGUGUGGGAGUUAUAACCUAAAACGCGUUUUCAGAACGUUGGCCAAAUAGGACAUAGACAAUGUCGUCGUUUUUUGGCGCCGCCCUGUGGCGAAAUUUUCCAAGGACAAUUUUCCUUUGCCAAAUAACUCCCGCCCACAUUAAUAAUUCUUGGCCAUAUUUUCUAUAUAGACUCGGGUUUGCCCCUUGAUGGUUUCCCUUGAGUUUGAAGAACAUUCCUUUGGCCAAUUAGAAGAUAUACAAUUUCCUCGUUUAUUGCGCCCCCUAAUGGCGAAAUUUUCGAUUUCUAGAUGUCAUGGCAACGUCCGCUCGCGACACUGGACUUGCGAUCGAGGCAUCCAUGCGGACGUUCAUUCACAUAGCCAAAAACAAGAGAAUAGAUGGCUAGAUAAAAUAAACAUCAAGACAUACAAUUCUAAAAAGAACAGAUGAAGCAGCUACCCUUUUUUCCUUCGCGGUUUGCCUACAGAGCAGCGCACCUGCAUUUAAUAUAUCCGUGUAUUGUCGCAAUUUCUCAGUAUCAAAGGUGAAAGUAGAAACGGGUGGCCAAAGCUGUCAUAUUGUUAGUUAUCACAGACAAUUUUAAGUAGAACCGGGUGGCCAAAAGCUGUAAUUUGUUAGUUAUCACAGACAAUUUUCAACGAUGAAUGAUCUGUACGGAGCUCCAUAAGGGACAUUAGGGAGAACGCUCCCGGACAGAACCUUAGUUUGGAAGUCGUGCUUAGUGACACGAAAAAAAAUACUACUUCCAAUUGAAAUACAAAAUUUAGAAAAUAGGCCUACGUGUCCCUGAUCACGUUUCAAUAGAUUAAAUAACGUGACAGUGUCACGUAUUUUCGUGAGACCAGGUUCGAGCGUGUGCAUGGGUUGAAUUGCGUGUGUCUCACGCCGAAUGCAUGAGACAUGAGAGCCCUGUACUUACGUGACACAAACCAGCACCGCAAACAUUCUCUCCCACUUGAGAUGACGUCUUUCUUUAUAGGUUCAUGGGUCUGAUGCGCCGAUUUCCCAUGCUGAUAUCCCCGGAGAUUCUCGGGCAUCUUCGACAAUUUGGCUAUAGAUUGUCUCAUUACACGCUAAAUAAUAUAAUUAUAGCCUAAUUAUAUAUAUAGCCUAUAUAUAUAUAUAGGCAAUAUAUAUAAUUAGGCAAUAUAUAUAUAUAUAUAGCAUUUGUGGUUUUGGCAUAAACAUAACUAGGGUGCACUGUACUAUCUGCGCCCACCCUUUCUGAAGCCUCUCGCUCUCUCUCUCUCUCUCUGUCCCUCCCUCUCUCUCUUUCUCUCUCUCUCGUACCGU